CUCAUUUUUGCACAGAGGAGCAUACGUUUAUGAUGCUUCCUCAUUUGCAGCGCGUGCACCUGCGGUUAGGCGGGGAGGCUGUUAGCAUCACCGCGCGCGUGCAGUCUUUUAAUUCUACUUUAUUCUUCUUCUCAUUGUUAUCAUGAUCAUUUCUUAAAAAGAAUCUGAUGUCAUUUGGCCUCGCUAGUUCUGUAUUCACGCCUCCGAUCACGCAAAGCACAGUCAAUAUUCCACGCCUUUUCCACUACAUAAACUGCAUGACGGAAUUAUUAUGCACCGCGCGUGCUGUUUACUUUAGUGCCAACUUCACUAUCAUCACCGCUUAUCUACCGAUACGUUACCGAGAAAUGACAUAAACGAUACAAAAAUGCAUGAAAAUCAGCUUUAAAACUGUCUCCGCACUCAGCAUUUUUCCAGAAGAGAGAGAGAGAGAGAAGGAGGACAAGACAUUCCACCCUGCCAUUUAUUAGCCAAAGUGGAUUAAUGGUACACACCUGCUUUCCUGUACACAGCGUCACUGUAUUAGCUGGGACAGGCUGUGACGGACUGUCUGGGCCUCAUGCCGAAAUUUUAUUAUUAUUAUUUUCUUUUUUUACAAAACUUUGUGUAGCUAAGCAUCAAUUAUGUGCAGUAUUAAUCAUGUCAGUGGAAGGUCCUCAUAAGGAUAGUAAGCGUGUGUGUGUGUGUGUGUGUGUGUGUGUGUUAGUAAGAGUUUAUCCAGACAACACUGAUAUCUGAUGUUAUUUAUUGAUGUGUAUACUCACACACACCUGACGUUGAAGCUUUGAGGUGUAAAUCCAUGUUUUGUCUGACCCCUGCGUUCCGGCCAAUCAGAUCGUCCCGUUCGGCGUGAGCGCUCCACUCUCGGAUAUAAACACGUUUUUCACGCGGCUCUUUGAUCUUGACCGUGCUCCAUAAACAUGCGACUUAUUUUCGUAAUCAGCUUCGAAUAAUUAUCUCUAACUUCCUGUGGCGAGUUUACACAACAGUGUUGAUUGCUUCAUUUUUUUUUUUUUAUGUUUAAAAUCUAUGCUUCGUCAUUUUCUUGUGGUUGGUUUAAAAGUAGGCGGGGCCAUGAGGGAAACGGUCCCACGUGCGAUAUAACCAUGUUUCAGAGGUCGAAACCAGAGCAGCGAUAAAUCGGUUGAACGCGCGUCGUGAUGACGUCACGUGACUCGGUAUAUUUUGAAAAAUCGCACGCUCCUCCGAAUAUCGCGUAAACAUCGAUACGACGGUUAUUGAUCAGCGCGUUAUUUUCUCGAUGUGUCUUUGAGACGUCGACGGUGUACGUUUAAAAACGUAUAAACUUGCGCUUCAUAGCAAUCGUUCGACCCCUAUGACCUUUCGCUAAUGUUAAAUGACGAAUUUCCUGUUUACGAGAUCGGACACGCCCACAACAGUGUUUUAUUUAUUUAUUUGUUUGUUUGUUUAUUUAUUCGGAGCGCAGUUAAAGUGUGUAUAUUCUACACCUUGGGUAUUAUUUGUAAGCUUCGAUAAAAGAAGUAGCUUUUGUCCUCCUGUGCCUAAAAAAAAUAAAAACGCGACUGGGACUGUAAAUGAGUGUGUUUAGCAGCCCGCCGUGCCUUACUUCAGACACUACCUCUACUCGGUGCCAGGUAAAGUAAAAUGGAUUGAUACGCCGCUGUUUAAUUGAAAAGAUAUGACACGGUGUAAGGGUGUUUAAUUUUAUUCACGGUCCCACAUGUGAAAUACCGCAGGGUUCAACCGUUAUUACACGACACAGAGAGAGAGAGAGCGAGAGAGAGAGCGAGAGAGAGAGAGAGAGAGAGAGAGAGAGAGAGCGAGCGCUUACGUGCUGAAACACUGAAAAGUGCUGCACUUCCUGGCGAAGGUAAAAAAGUAAGGAACCAAUCAGACAUUGUAGUGCUGCCGUAGACCCCCCGAGUGAGACACGCGAGUCUGACAUAGGCCACGCCUCCCGGCCGCUACAGCACGGCAGGGUUCUACAGUGAUUGUUUAAAUGAUUUUUUUAACAGCACGCCAGGGUGAGUCCUCUGAAACGUCGUGUCGUGGGAUGAUCUCGGCCAGGAGGCGGGGCGAAUAUUCUGUCUUGAGAACGUGAUGUUAACACUGGAGUAGAGAGUGUCAGCGUUUUUACUCUUUCACAGGCUGUAACACACUGCAAACACACACACACACACACACACACACACACACACACACACACACACACACACACACUUCCCUGUUUCAGGGGCUUGAGAUUAAACUGCAGAGAGAACAUGCUGGUCCAGUGAACCAAUUCAUUUUCACA
ensembl:lncRNA